AUGAGCAAAGUACGGUCGGUUUCUCUCCGGUGCCAAGACUGUCCCCACCGUCGGUCCGAAAGGAACCGGUCAAUUCUCAUUGUGUGUGGGAGACCUCCUCAUUUGAGCUCGGCCCACAACCCCCUCCCCGAAUUAUUGUAUAAAAGAACCCACCCACCCCAAAAUCCCGGUGGCGCGGCACACAAAAAGAUGCCACGUCUCCCUUUCUUUCCCCCCACCCCUCCCGCCCCCGCCGUCAGGGGUGGGCGGCUGGGCAGAGAGGAAGGGCCCUGCCCCUUCACCGCGAUUUCCCCGUGGCUGGGGUGGGGGAGGCAGCUAUACUCGGGUGGUGGAGUGAGGGUGGGGCAGGGUGUUGUUGUGCCCUGUGGGGAAGGUGUUGAAAGGGUGCAGGGCUGGCAUGCCCGUAAUGGUACUGGGGAUCAUGGUGAUGGUGUUGGGCGUCAUCAGGGGCACGUCGUCCGGCGCCCGGCGCAGCGCGAGAGUGUAGUCCGGCGGGCAGGCCGGGCGCAGGAUCUCGUGGGGUCUCAGCGCCUCCAGGUCGUGAGCAUCGUGCUCAGAGUGUUUGAUCUGCAGGGACAUGAGCUCCUCCUCCUGGCCGCCGUGCACCAGGUCGUUGGCCGCGUUGCGUUGGGGGCUGAGGCGCCGGCCGCCGAGGACGCCCGCCCGCAGCUCGUGCCGCUUGUCCCGCUUGUAGUAGAGGGCGGCGAAGGCCAGGAUGUUGAGGAAGAGCAAGGAGGCCCCCACGGCCACGGUGACGCUCAGCUCGGUGGAGUAGUCCCGCGAGUCCCCCGGGAAAGGGGCGUAGCGCCGGCGGUCAUCCGCCUCGUCCUCGUCUGGUGGCAGGGUGGGGAAGGGCCGGCGGGUGGUGCUGGGCCCCGCCCGGGAGCCGGGGGGCCAGCGGGUGCCGUAGGGCGGGACGCGGGUGGUGGUGGAGGUGUAGACAGGGUCGUGGAGGUGGUGGAGGUGGGGCACCAGCUCCAGCCAGAAAGCUACCUUGUUGGCCCGGUAGUUGUCCCGUACCCGGGGUUUGAGGCCGAUGUGGAGGUACUGCUUGUCCUUCGUGUUGAACUUGGUCCACACCACCUCCUCGAAGCGGUUGGGCUUGGUGUGGAUGAACUUGGUGUCCUGGGGCACCGGCUGGUUGGGGUCCCUGCAGGGAGGGGAGACGGAGUUAUGGUGGUGGUGGGGAAUCUGGCCCGGAGGCAACCACGGGAUGGGGGGUGUUUCUAG
rnacentral:lncRNA from 1 species